UGGAAAGGUCCGCCAGAGCAGGUAAAAGCCCUGUAGUCGAAAGUUCGUUCUCUCCUGAGUGGAUCCUGAGUACGGCGGAACACGUGAAAUUCCGUCGGAAUCCGGGAGGACCAUCUCCCAAGGCUAAAUACUACCUAGUGACCGAUAGUGAACCAGUACCGUGAGGGAAAGGUGAAAAGCACCCCGGAAGGGGAGGGAAAGAGAUCCUGAAACCGUGUGCCUACAAGUAGUUAGAGCCCGAUAAUGGGUGAUAGCGUGCCUUUUGUAGAAUGAACCGGCGAGUUACGAUUACGUGCGAGGUUAAGC
rnacentral:rRNA from 1 species